GGGGCCUUAGUUUAAUCGGUUAAAACAUUUGACUUUUAAUCAAUAUUUAUGAGUUCAAGUCUCAUAGGCCUCA